AUGCAGGAGAAACUGGACUGAGACCACCGGAUGAAGAGUCCCUCCGCUUCUUAACUUCCUUGGUAAGUCCAUCAAUUUCCAGUCUCCAAGAACAGGAGAGUGAAGAAAGCAUUGAAAGGAAACCGAAAACAUCCAGCAGUUUCUUUCAGAACUUGAUGGCAUUGUCAGGAAGAGAGCACACUGACAGAAGGAAAAAGAAGAUUUAUGAUGAAGAGAAGGGUGGAGAGGAGAGUGAAGAGGAGGAAUGGGAGAGAAUGAAGAGAAAGAAGUACUAUAAGGAAAAGGAGGACUAUAAAGAAAAGGAGGAAUGUGAGAGAAUGGAGACAGAAAAGGAGAGGAAGAAAAGGGAGAAAAGGGAGAGAAAAGAGGAAAAGGAGGACAGGAAGGAAAGGGAAAAA